GCAGGUCUCCCACAUGUUUGUGAUUUUCUCUUUAUUCAUGUUUUUAGUAAAUGUGCGUGACCUUCAGAGCCACCGUACUGCAGUGACAGCCUUCAGAGUAUAAUCCCAGUGUCCAGAUUACAGGCCGGCGUCUUUGCUCUGAAUGUUUCUCUGCGAUUCAUUUUCUGACAGCAGGAGAGUCUUUGUAGCGUCAGCGUGCCAUCAGGCAGAUGAAUGAGGCUAAACGUUUUCUUUAUCUGCCCCCCCGACACGCUCGGCAUGAUGGGAGGCGAUACGGCGUGGAGGGUUGGAGGCGUGAGGACGGGGGAGAGGUGAACGGCCAAUCAGCACCUGAGCGAACACCUGAGCAGAACUGUGCGGCGUUUCCGGCGCAGACGGCCAGGCGGACACUUCCCGCGCUGCUUUUUAAAAGCUGAAGGUGAGCAUCCCCUGCAGGCCAAGCCUUCCCUCAGCAGUCGCUCUACCUGGGGCAUGGUGGGAGCUCGCAGACCGCCUCCCGCCUCUGAAGCUGCAGCUGUCUGCAUCUCUGCUGGAAGCGGCGCCUCCUGCAGGUGAGCAAGGAAGAGCGCUGUCAACACCUCAGUGGGAGGAGCGUCCUUUAAGCUGAAGCUGAGCUCAGGAUGAAGGAGAGACUUUACAGAGUGUUGGAGCUAUCUGUUCUUUAUUUUUUAUUAUUUUGAAAUUAGUUAAAGUUUGUUGUUAGUUUACUUAUAUUUUGGGGUUUAUUUACAAGUUUAUUUGUAGGUUAAUAUUUGUUUCAAUGUUUUAUUUGUUUGAUUUUACCUUGUUAAAUCAGUCAAUAAGUGUCAUGAUCCUGGGCCAUGUUGGCCCAGUAUUCUUAGUUUCAUGUAUUUUUGUAUUUUGCUCCUUAUUUAGGCCAUGUUUCCUGGGCUGCCCUGUUACGUUGUUCCCUAAGUGUUUUCCCCUUGUGACUCUUACCCCUUGUGUGCCCCUCUGUGUAUUUGUGAGCCCUCGUCUCUCCUUGUGUUUUAUUCCAUGUUUUCCCCAGCCCGUUAUAUCUGUGUUUUCCCCGUGCUCUCUCUCCUCCUGUCUGAACCUCUGUACUUCCUGUUUUACUUUGCCCGUCUCCCGUCAGUGUUGCGUUCACUUCUGCCGUGUCUUGUUAUGAUUAUCAGUGUCAGCUGUGUUCCCCGUGUGCUCCCACUUCCCUCGCUAACCUUCUGUGUAUUUAUGUCUGCGUCUCCCUCAGUUCUGUGUCGCGUUCGCCCUCAUCCAUGGCCGUGUGUUUUUCCGUGUAACAUGUUAUACUUUCCAGUUUAGUUUGUAUGGUUUUUCCGUCCAGCAAUAAAGCUGUGAAGUUUGAGUUAAUUCCUGCCUCCGUGAGUUUGCGAUUGGGUCCUCAUCCAGCCUGCACACAGCCGCAACCAUGACAAUAAGAGCUGUAGGGCCAUUUUGUUUCUAUAAAUAGAGAGACUGGUAUAGGACCAGCAUGCACUGGGGUGAGCCUGUGGUUUUUUACUAGAGCAGGAGAAGCAGCAGGAAGUAACAAAAAAUGGAUCUUGUUAUUGCCAAACUGGAUGAAUAAACCAUAAAAACGCAACUUUAAAGUUUGGACAGUGGACUUCUUUCGCCUGCGUACGAAAUAGUAUCUCAGUGCAGCAGUGGCUUGUGGACUUUUAAUUGUGGGAUGUUUGGUUUGUCAAACAAAAGGAAUUGC
ensembl:lncRNA